CCUACGGGUGGCAGCAGUCGAGAAUCAUUCACAAUGGGGGAAACCCUGAUGGUGCGACGCCGCGUGGGGGUAUGAAGGUCUUCGGAUUGUAAACUCCUGUCAUGUGGGAGCAAAUUAAAAAGAUAGUACCACAAGAGGAAGAGACGGCUAACUCUGUGCCAGCAGCCGCGGUAAUACAGAGGUCUCAAGCGUUGUUCGGAAUCAUUGGGCGUAAGGCGUGCGUAGGCUGUUUCGUAAGUCGUGUGUGAAAGGCGCGGGCUCAAGCCGCGAACUGCACGUGAUACUGCGAGACUAGAGUAAUGAAGGGGGAGCCGGAAUGCGUGGUGUAGCAGUGAAAUGCGUAGAUAUCGAGAGGAACACUCAUGGCGAAGGCGGGUUCCUAGACAUUAACUGACGCUGAGGCACGAAGGCCAGGGGAGCGAAAGGGAUUAGAUACCCCUGUAGUC
rnacentral:rRNA from 1 species